GACGAGAGAUGUGUUGGCAGGGGAAAGAACUAAAUCGAAGACUUCAAUCAUUCAUGUUUUGCUUUUAAAUCCAGAGCUAGAAAAGGAAUCGGAUUUCCAGAAAAUGAUCAGCCAGAGUUAGAAGAGCUUGUGGCUGCAUUCUAUUUAAGGCUGACAUGUAACAGGUUAAAGUCAAAGCUGAAGUCUUGGAUCAUUAAGUACGGGAGGAGAGAGUCAGUGGAGCAGCUUCUACAAAACUACGUGUCUUUUAUAGAAAAUAGCAAGUUCUUUGAACAAUAUGAGGUGACAUACCAGAUCUUGAAACAGACAGCUGAGAUGUAUGUCAAAGCAGAUGGUUCAGUGGAAGAAGCUGAGAAUGUGAUGAAAUUCAUGAAUGAAACCACCGCUCAGUGGAGGAAUCUCUCAGUAGAAGUGAGGAGUGUGAGGAGCAUGCUGGAAGAAGUGAUCUCUAACUGGGAUCGCUAUGGCAAUACAGUGGCUAGUCUGCAAGCCUGGCUAGAGGAUGCUGAAAAAAUGCUCAAUCAAUCAGAAAAUGCCAAAAAGGAUUUUUUUCGAAAUUUACCUCAUUGGAUUCAGCAGCAUACU
rnacentral:sRNA from 1 species